rnacentral:lncRNA from 1 species
UUGACUUGAACAUUUUGAAGCUCUUACACCUUGAAAUUAGAAUUUGAUUUCCCUCUUUCAAUUUUAAAUUCUCAAUUUAAGCUAAGAAAGCAGAGCUAGGCAAGUGUGCUGUUUAAAGUAACGUUUACUGCGAGAGUGCAGAAUGUUGACGAUCUGGUAGGAUAUAUCUUGCCGGUGAACAGUGUACACUCCAGCAGUAGCGCGCUGAUUUUUUUGUUAAACGUACUUCGAGAGCGUUGAUUUUUAUCAGAUUACAGAAAUUGCACAAAUUUAUGAUAAAAUUACUUCAAUUGCACUUAAAUUUUGUCAAAUUUACUUCGACUGCACUGAUUUUUUGUCAAAAUUACUUCGACCCUGCUCCGUAAUAGUGCGUAGGGAAAAUUUUCAUUUUGCUGGUGAAAGCGUACACUGAUAAACUUUUUUGCAUCCCUCAUUGACUGUGAGCUUGAUGUCCUUCAAACGUAAUUGUUUGCAAGCACACUGACCCAGGAGGGUUACACUGUUUGCAAACAACUUAUGAAAGUUGGAUCAGGAUUAGACACAGAUAGUCCGUGAUGGUGGUGUGGGCUGAAAAGGAAUCUGGACCUCUGUGAACUCCCAUCUUUUGUAUUAAAUAAUUACCUGUUAGGGUCUUUUUCUUCUACUUCCAAAAGUUUUUUGUUCCAAUAUUGACUCUGAGAGCCAUUGUCUUUCCGUGCUUUCUUCAUCAUGUUGUCCAAUUCCCGUCGUCUUGGAGGAGAUGCUAGUCCUCUGCGACCACUAGACUUCCCACUGUACUCGUCCAUGCGCAACCUUGUCUUUUCACGCUCGCGACUUCUCCUUGAGCUCAUUGUCUACCUAUUAAAAAAAAUAAGAAAACAAAUUUUAGUACCAAGGAGAAUAAUUGAAAAAAAGAAACUGAAUGCAACUAAUGGAAAAUUAACGCAGAUUACUAAACAAUUGAAUGAACUUAUAGUUCUUGAAACUAAGGUGUAUUACAUCAUGAAUGAUGAGUAUCAGAAGAAUUUAGAUUUAAAAGAGAUUUCGUUUGUUGAUUUAGUCUCUUGCGUUUUGACAUUUCAGGUAAUUUUCGUAAAAAUACUGAUACAUUGA